CAAUAGCGUAUAUUAAAGUUGUUGCGGUUAAAAAGCUCGUAGUUGGAUUUCUGCUGAGAACGACCGGUCCGCCCUUUGGGUGUGUAUCUGGCUCUUUCUUGGCAUCUUCUUGGUGAACGUUGCUGCACUUGACUGUGUGGAGCGCUACCCAGGACUUUUACUUUGAGGAAAUUAGAGUGUUUCAAGCAGGCAUACGCCUUGAAUACAUUAGCAUGGAAUAAUAAGAUAGGACCUCGGUUCUAUUUUGUUGGUUUCUAGAGCUGAGGUAAUGAUUAAUAGGGAUAGUUGGGGGCAUUCGUAUUUAACUGUCAGAGUUGAAAUUCUUGGAUUUGUUAAAGACGGACUACUGCGGAAGCAUUUGCCAAGGAUGUUUUCAUUGA
rnacentral:rRNA from 1 species